GAAUUUUAGCGCAUCUGCUUGCAGAGCGUGACCUCCACUCUAUACACUGUGCACUUAUUGGCAAGAGAGAGGUAUCCUUUACAGGUGACUCGAUUUUGCGGCUCACUUUUAAACACCAGUCAAAGAAUGUAUACGAAAUAUCGAAAAAAGAAAAACUUUCAACAACGGAUCUCUUGGCUCU
rnacentral:misc_RNA from 1 species